rnacentral:lncRNA from 1 species
UUGAAAUUGACUCAUAUUUUUAUAAAUUCGACGAUUGGUCACUACGAUAGGGUAGUCGGAGGUCUCGCUUCCCGAUUAGCGAGCGGUUGCCCAAUUCGCCGCUCGCUAAUCAUUACUCCCUCCGUCCCUAAUUAUUUGACGUUUUAGAAGUGGACACAAGAAUUCAGAUAAUGAUUGAAAAUCAUUAAAUAUAAUACUCAAUUGUCUAUAAUACUCUUAAAUUUUUUGUUGAGACAAGGAGAGUUUUGUUGGGAUAAGGAGAGAAAGAGUUUAAAGUAUCAAAAAAUAGGUAGAGUAAUGAGGGAUAAUUUUGAAAAAAUUGUCAUUAAUUCUCCUAGAUUUGAAAAAACGUCAAAUAAUUAGGGACUGAGGAAAUACUAUUUAGGACUAAAAUUUUGUGAACAAAAUUAAC